rnacentral:rRNA from 1 species
GGUUAGUGGCGGACGGGUGAGUAACACGUGGGAACGUGCCUUUAGGUUCGGAAUAGCUCCUGGAAACGGGUGGUAAUGCCGAAUGUGCCCUUCGGGGGAAAGAUUUAUCGCCUUUAGAGCGGCCCGCGUCUGAUUAGCUAGUUGGUGAGGUAAUGGCUCACCAAGGCGACGAUCAGUAGCUGGUCUGAGAGGAUGACCAGCCACAUUGGGACUGAGACACGGCCCAAACUCCUACGGGAGGCAGCAGUGGGGAAUCUUGCGCAAUGGGCGAAAGCCUGACGCAGCCAUGCCGCGUGAAUGAUGAAGGUCUUAGGAUUGUAAAAUUCUUUCACCGGGGACGAUAAUGACGGUACCCGGAGAAGAAGCCCCGGCUAACUUCGUGCCAGCAGCCGCGGUAAUACGAAGGGGGCUAGCGUUGCUCGGAAUUACUGGGCGUAAAGGGCGCGUAGGCGGACAUUUAAGUCAGGGGUGAAAUCCCAGAGCUCAACUCUGGAACUGCCUUUGAUACUGGGUGUCUUGAGUGUGAGAGAGGUAUGUGGAACUCCGAGUGUAGAGGUGAAAUUCGUAGAUAUUCGGAAGAACACCAGUGGCGAAGGCGACAUACUGGCUCAUUACUGACGCUGAGGCGCGAAAGCGUGGGGAGCAAACAGGAUUAGAUACCCUGGUAGUCCACGCCGUAAACGAUGAUUGCUAGUUGUCGGGCUGCAUGCAGUUCGGUGACGCAGCU